rnacentral:rRNA from 1 species
CCUACGGGUCGCAGCAGUGGGGAAUAUUGCACAAUGGGCGCAAGCCUGAUGCAGCCAUGCCGCGUGUAUGAAGAAGGCCUUCGGGUUGUAAAGUACUUUCAGCGGGGAGGAAGGUGUUGUGGUUAAUAACCACAGCAAUAGACGUUACCCGCAGAAGAAGCACCGGCUAACUCCGUGCCAGCAGCCGCGGUAAUACGGAGGGUGCAAGCGUUAAUCGGAAUUACUGGGCGUAAAGCGCACGCAGGCGGUCUGUCAAGUCGGAUGUGAAAUCCCCGGGCUCAACCUGGGAACUACAUUCGAAACUGGCAGGCUCGAAUCUUGUAGAGGGGGGUAGAAUUCCAGGUGUAGCGGUGAAAUGCGUAGAGAUCUGGAGGAAUACCGGUGGCGAAAGCGGCCCCCUGGACAAAGACUGACGCUCAGGUGCGAAAGCGUGGGGAGCAAACAGGAUUAGAUACCCGAGUAGUC